rnacentral:antisense_RNA from 1 species
UGUGGGAGCGAGCUUGCUCGCGAUGCGGUUGAACAUUCAACAUUGAUGUCGAUUGACCCACCGCUAUCGCGAGCAAGCUCGCUCCCACA